rnacentral:lncRNA from 1 species
AAUGUAUAUUUUUAUCUACUAAUAUGUUGGGUAGAACAUGGGUAGAUAGUUGGUGUGUAAUAAACAGAUGAGAGGCCUCGUUGUUGUUUGAUUUAGUCAUCUAGCGGAGUUUAGAUGACGACCACGGACUUUUCUAGACAGUCUUGUGGAACAUUAGCAGGUUCGCCACCUGUAGGUGUUAAUGAACUUGGGUGUUCAUUCGCUGUACUCCAUCCCCCUCAUGGUUGCCUUAUUUGACUUAUAUUGCUGAGGAACCCCCGAAGCAUGUGUUGUCGCCCCGAUGAAAUAUUCUUAGACUAGGUCCCUUGUGUUAGUCAUUUUAGGGACAUAAAGUAAGAAUAACGGGAAUGGAUAAUUGGGUUAUUGUUGGUUGGUGGAAAUUAAAUAUGAUUAUUUAUUGUGGGUUGAAAACCCUAUAUGCUCACCAGGCUCCCAAGUCUGACCCACUCAGUUUUAUUUGUAUUACAGGAAGUGGCGCAAGGGCAUGAGAUGGAUGAGCCAUCAAGUUGUUUUGUUUACAAGUCUGUAUAUGUAUAUAUAUGUUGAAUGACUUGUAAUGUUAUCGUUUAUGCUUAUUGGUCUGUAUCGGAACAUGACACCCUGAGUUUUAAUUAUAUAAUGAAAAAUACAUUUCUUUUAUGAAAUGCUUUGGUAAACAUUGUUUUAUCAUGUUUUGUUUUUGGGAACAAAUUCCUCAACUCUUUCAAAUCAAAAGGAUUUACUCUGAAAUUAUUUUAAAAGCAUAAAUGAAAAUUGGUCUUUUCUGGCCGAGAUUUUGGGGAUGUCACACCGGGACUUGUGCAACCCGUAAUUCCUGCGACUGCCACUUUUGAGCUUAAGGGUCACAUUCUUGCUCUACUCAAGGAGAUCCCCUUCUACGGAAAAGACCACGAAGAUGCUUACAAACACUUGGAUGAAGUCAAUGAUGUAGCUGAUUAUUUUAAUGUUCCAAACGUGCCUCGCGAAACUCAGAUACUUCUCAUGCUUCUGGUUACAUUGAAGGGUGCUGCAAAGGAUUGGCUCAAGUCACUUCCCCCCGGAUCCAUCACUAAUGGGCCAAGAUGAAAGAAGAGGUUAUGGAUCAAUUCUGCCUACCCUCCAAGAUAUCUAAGUUAAAGAAAGCCAUAGCCAACUUUGAACAACAAGCUGGAGAGUCACUUUAUGAAGCUUGGGAGAGGUACAAGAGUUUACUAUGGAAUUGCCCACAUCAUGACCUUAAUAGUCAACAAGAAGUCUCCAUUUUCUAUGAUGGAGUGAAUGUUACAACAAGGCAAUUACUUGACUUGCAAGGUCCAAUCACAAAGAAAGCACUCCCGGUGAUAAAACAACUAAUUGAAGAAUUCUUUAAGCAUUCUAGAGAAUACCACAAUCCAAGGAAUGAUGUGACAAGGGGAUCAGCUUAUGCAGCUUCAGAAGAUUUGUCAGCAGUCAUGGCUAUGUUGAAACCAUGGAUAGGAGGAUGGAUGAAAUGGAUCAAACGAUACAUGCUAUUCGGGUGGGUUGUGAGAAUUACAAUGGACCUCAGCUUACUAAAGAUUGUGACUCGGACGAGAAUGGGAAUAAAAAGGUGCAAGUAUGUUACUCAAGUGGUGACCGAUAUGAUGAAGAUUGGCGGAAACCCAAGAAAGAGUGGCUUCCUUAUGAUGAGUACAAGAGGGCUAAGGAGGAGAAGUUUAAACAAAAAGGAAGAGGUUUUUAUCAAAAGGAGGAGUCGGCACAAGAAAGGAAACCAAGUUUGGAAGAGAUGCUUACUAAGUUUGUAGUUGCUUCAGAAAAGAGACAUAAUGAUCAUGAUGUUGCAAUCCAAGAAACAAGAACAAUGCUUAGAAAUCAACAAGCAUCUAUCCACAACAUUGAGACACAGCUGGGGCAACUUGCUCAACAAAUUAAUUAAAGAUCACCGGGAGAACUUCUUAGUAAAACCGAAAACAACCCACGAGGCGCACAUAUAAAUAUCGUGACAACAAGAAGUGGAAAGAUAAUUACUCCUCUGGCCCCUAUUCAGUCUGAAGAGCCCAAGCAGUUACAAAAGGAGGAUGCAGAAAAACAAAUCCAAAAUCAAAAUCUGCAUGACAUAGACCCUACUCGCCGAGUCCAUAAGAUGGACUCGACGAGUCCAGUGCCUAAUCAGAAAAGUCAGAUUCUAGCAAAACCAUUUUAGCCUCCAAUGCCAUAUCCAGCCCGAGCUAAGCAAGAAAAGAAGGAAGAAGACUACCAGAAGUUUCUAGAACACAUAAAGGCUCUUCAAAUCAACAUACCAUUCAUAGAAGCGGUUGCCCAAAUGCCAAAAUAUGCCAAGUUUCUCAAAGAGCUUCUAACUAAUAGAAGGAAGAUGGAAGAAGUGAGUGAAGUAGUUCUUAAUGAGAAUUUCUCAGCUGCUAUGUUAAACAAGCUACCGAAGAAGAAGGGUGACCUGGGAAGCUUAACAUUGCCUUGUCAAUUUGGGAAUUUGGCCACCAUUCAUGCUUUGGCCGAUUCAGGAGCAAGUGUAAACCUCAUGCCUUAUUCAUUUUUCUAGAAACUAGAUCUCCCGGAACCGAGGCCAAUCCGAAUGGCAAUCCACUUAGCAAACAAAACUGUUACAUUCCCACGAGGAAUCUGUGAAGAUCUCUUGGUAAAGGUGGAUAAGUUCGUGUUCCCCGCGGAUUUUAUAAUCUUGGACAUGGAAGCGGAUCCUCAAGUCCCUAUCAUCCUGGGAAGACCUUUCCUUAACACCGCAAUCGCUAUAGUUGACAUGUGAGAUUCAAAACUUACUCUACGGGUGGGGGAUGAUUCAGUCACUUUCGGGGUUGAUCAAGCCAUGAAGCAUGCAAUGCAUAGUGAUGACACAACAUUUUCAAUUGAUAUGUUGGAUGAAUUGAUGGAGGAAUGGCAUAAUGAAGAUCCAAACAAGUCCACCAUCACCUUUACUGAAGAACUUGAUGCUGAAAAAUACCUACUGGAAAUAGAGAGACCGCUGGAAGAAGCUGAUUAUGAUGAGUUAAUGAAGACCAUUGAGCAUCCAACUCGCCGAGUUCAUUUGAAGAAACCUGAGGAAUCGCAAAUUCUGCACUGUACUCGACGUGUUCAGCAUGCAGAACGCAAAAACUGAGCUGAAGGCACUACCAGAUCACUUGGAGUAUGCAUUCCUUGAAGAUGGUCAACAAAAACCUGUUGUAAUAGCUUCUGACCUCUCAAAUCUGAAANUUCAAAUCUUGAAGAAGAGGAAGAGUGCCAUUGCAUGGAGUAUCACCGAUAUCAAGGGAAUAAGCCCUUCUUAUUGCUCUCACAAGAUCAACCUGGAAGAAGCAGCAAAGCCGGUAGUGCAACACCAAAGAAGAUUGAACCUGCACAUGCAAGAAGUGGUCAAGAAGGAAGUAGUCAAUCUUUUAGAUGCGGGGAUCAUUUAUUCUAUUUCCGAUAGUUCAUGGGUUAGUCCUGUCCAAGUGGUGCCCAAGAAAGGAGGGAUGAGGGUCAUAUCAAACGACAAGAAUGAGCUUAUUCCAACACGAACGGUAACCGGUUGGCGAGUGUGUAUCGAUUAUCGAAAGCUAAACGAUGCCACUCGUAAAGACCAUUUUCCUUUGCCUUUUAUUGAUUAAAUGCUUGAAAGAUUGUCCGGCCAUAGUUAUUAUUGUUUUUUAGAUGGAUUUUCGGGAUACUUCCAAAUACCCAUAGACCUAAUGGACCAAGAAAAGACCACUUUCACUUGCCCGAGUGGAACUUUUGCCAAUCGUCGCAUGCCCUUUGGGUUAUGCAAUGCACCUGCGACAUUUCAAAGGUGUAUGACAGCCAUAUUCCAUGACAUGGUGGAAAAGUUCAUGGAAGUAUUUAUGGACGAUUUUUCUGUUUUUGGAUCUUCUUUCCAUAAUUGUCUUGCUAACCUUGAUUUAAUGCUUGCAAGGUGUGAAAAGACCGAUUUAGUCCUUAAUUGGGAAAAAUGUCACUUUAUGGUUAAAGAGGGUAUAGUUAAUUGGGAAAAAUGUCACUUUAUGGUUAAAGAGGGUAUAGUUUUGGGCCACAAGGUAUCCAAAUAGGGAAUUGAGGUGGAUCGGGCAAAAAUAGAUACAAUUGUUAAAUUACCUCCACCGACUAAUGUAAAGGGCAUUAGGAGUUUUUUUAGGACACGCGGGUUUUUACCACCGUUUCAUAAAAGAAUUUUCUAAAAUAGCUAGACCUUUAACACAAUUGCUUUUAAAAGAUGCACCAUUUAAUUUCACUAAAGAAUGUCUAGACACUUUUGAAUUUUUGAAAGAAAAAUUAACUAAUGCCACGAUCAUUAUUGCCCCGAAUUGGAAUUUACCCUUUGAAAUAAUGUGUGAUGCUAGUGACUUUGCAUUAGGAGCUGUCCUUGGUCAAAGGGUUGAUAAGCACUUUCGACCCAUUUAUUAUGCAAGUAAGACUUUGAAUCCGGCCCAAGAAAAUUACACCACAACCGAAAAAGAAUUACUAGCUGUGGUGUAUUCUUUUGAGAAAUUCCGCCCUUAUCUAGUUUUAUCUAAAACCACUGUUUUUACUAACCACUCUGCUAUUAAGUAUUUAUUUGCCAAGCAGGAUGCAAAGCCAAGAUUGAUACGUUGGGUUCUACUUCUACAAGAAUUUGACAUCGAGAUACGCAAUAAGAAAGGAAUGGAGAAUGUAGCGGCCGACCACUUAUCAAGGCUAGAAAACCCGCAGUUGGAAGCAUUGGAAGAAGAUAAAAUUGGAGACGAUUUUCCGGACGAGUACAUUUUGGUGACCACGGGGGAAGAGCCAUGGUUUGCGGACAUAGCUAAUUACUUAGCUACCAAGUACAUCCCAAAAGACUUUACCCGCCAACAAAAGAAGAAAUUCUUUUCAGAAAUAAAAUACUACUUUUGGGAUGAGCCAUAUCUUUUCCGAAGUUGUGCGGAUGGGAUCUUAAGGAGAUGCGUAUUCGGGAAUGAAAGCCGAGAAAUUUUGGAGCAUUGCCAUAGCGGGCCCACCGGUGGACAUCAUGGAGCACAUUACACGGCAAAGAAGAUAUUUGAUGUUGGGUUUUAUUGGCCUACAAUUUUAAAGAUUCUAUCCAAUAUGUCAAAGAGUGUGAUGCAUUCCAAAGAGCGGGACACAUAUCAUCCCGAAAUGAGAUGCCACAACAUAGUAUUCAAGUGUGUGAAGUGUUUGACGUAUGGGGGAUCGAUUUCAUGGAACCAUUUCCCAUCUCAAAGGGCAACAAAUAUAUUUUGGUGGCGGUUGAUGUAACGCCUGUGUUUCCGGGCUCGUCAUUAAUAUUGAUAUAGUAGUCCAGGUUAACUUUUGUAACCUGUUUUGAAAUAAUAGAAGUGUAUUAUUUGAGUAUUAUGUGUUAUGUGCUUAAUUGUGUAUCUUAAUUUAAUUAAGAAUAACAAUAAGCGUCAAAAUGAAAUGUUAGAUAAAUCUGAUAUCUAUGGAUAAUGUUGUAGUAGUUGAAACGAGGUUUCCGAAUAUAUAAAGAAUACCGAAAUCCGAGUUAUAACGAAGAAGUUAUGACCUGUCGAAGUUUCGCGACAGAACCGACAACGCUGAAUGACGUAAAAAGUGAAAUUUACGUUAGUUCAAUAUUUAGCCUUAGUGAUCUAAAUGAAUGUUGUAGAGUUCCUUAAACCGAGAGCGUGCAUGAAAAGAACGCCCAAAUCUGACUUCAUAUGAGGAAGUUAUGAUUUUUUGAAGUUUCGACUUAGCGGUAUGCAGCCCGAAUACUCGAAAUAGAGAUCAAGUGAUAUUUAGCCAAAAAUUUCUAAAUGAGAAUUGAAGAUCUCAUUGAUAGUAGUCCAAUGAUAAAAUACAGACGAAAACGGAGUUCAGAUGAAGGAGUUAUGAAUUUCGAAUAGAGUUUUCCUGUCCCGGCCUACUAAAAAUAAUAUAUAAGUAAUAUACUUAUAAUAUCUGAAAAUAAAAUCAAAAUUAGCCAAUGGAGUCUAAACGAGAGUUGUAGAGCAUAAUCUCACCUUCGCGUCGAUAUAAAGAACGUCGAAAACGGAGUUCGUAUGUGAAAGUUAUGAAUUUCUGAAGUUCGGGGCGCGAAACCCCAAAACUGUCAGAUACCACGACGUGGCAAGCAGUGCCACGACGUGGCCAGUCUUCUGACACCUCCGGGAGUCCCCCAGAUGCAACUUGCGAUGACGCAUGCAGUGACGACCAAGCCCACGACGUGGAAAAAGGUGNNNNNNNNNNNNNNNNNNNNNNNNNNNNNNNNNNNNNNNNNNNNNNNNNNNNNNNNNNNNNNNNNNNNNNNNNNNNNNNNNNNNNNNNNNNNNNNNNNNNNNNNNNNNNNNNNNNNNNNNNNNNNNNNNNNNNNNNNNNNNNNNNNNNNNNNNNNNNNNNNNNNNNNNNNNNNNNNNNNNNNNNNNNNNNNNNNNNNNNNNNNNNNNNNNNNNNNNNNNNNNNNNNNNNNNNNNNNNNNNNNNNNNNNNNNNNNNNNNUGUCCGAUCAUCUUCUGAUCAAGUGAGUGUGUAGUUACUUUCUUCUAACGCAUAAUUAUGAAGUAUUUUGUACAAAAUACGUGUUAUGUGUAUAUUUUGUUGUUAUAUGUGUGAAUGUAUAUUCACGUUCUUCUAUCCCAUAUAUCUGAUUUAUUCUCUAUGAAGUACGUGUUAUGUGUGUGUGCCUCAUCUGUUAUCUGGAAUAUGUAUUGAUCGAACAUGCUAUACUGGUUUUAAACUAUGUAUAAAAAUAUAUAUUUUUAUCUACUAAUAUGUUCGGUAGAACAUGGGUAGAUAGUUGAUGUGUGAUAAACAGAUGAGAGGCGUCGAUGUUGUUGUUGUUGAUCUAGUUAUUCAGCGGAGUAUGGAUAACGACCACAGACUCUUUCUAGACAGUCCUGUGGAACGCUAGCAGGUUCAUAACCUGUAGGUGUUGUGAACGAUGUGUUCACCGGUGUACUCUAUCCCCCUCAUGGUUGCCUUUAGGAUAUCUAUUGUUGAGGAAACCCCUUAGCAGUAAUGUCCGUCCCGAUGAAAAUCCUAGAUUAGGUCCCUUGAGAUAGAUGUUGUUUUAGGGACAUAAAGUGAGGAUAACGGGAAUGGGUAAUCGGGUUAUUGUUGGUUGGUGAAAUUAAAUAUAAUUAUUUAUUGUGGGUUGAAAACCCUAUAUGCUCACCAGGCUCCCAAGCCUGACCCACUCAGUUUUAUUUGUAUUACAGGAAGUGGCGCAAGGGCAUAAGAUGGACGAACCAUCAAGUUGUUUUGUUUACAAGUCUGUAUAUGUAUAUAUUUGUUGAAUGACUUGUAAUGUUAUUGUUUAUGCUUUAUCAUCUGUAUCGGAACAUGAAAUCCGGAGUUUUGAUUAU